rnacentral:misc_RNA from 1 species
UGGACUGUUGUCCUUGACUUUGAGUUCUCUUGGACUGUUGUCCUUAUCUGGUACUGCCACCUGAUUCAUAACAUUGCUACUCCCUUUAAAAUCAGACUUGUCCUCAAGUCUGAAUACAGGAAAUUGGUUUCGGAGGUCCACGAUGUCUAACCAGGAUGCAUCUUCCUGAGGAAGGUCUUUCCAUUUAAUCAAAACUUGAACUGAAGUAUUCCCAUCUAGCUGCACUUUUUUAGUUUGCAGUACUUGUUUUGGUUCUAGCAGCUCUAUGUCAAUGUCUAAGUGUUGCGGUAACUAAUUAGCAACCUCAUGCUCACCUCUAACCUUCUUUAACAAGGACACAUGGAAAAUAGGAUGAAUUCGGACACCAUCAGGCAAUUGAAACCUUUUUAUUAUCUUUUAUGGCCCAUAGUAUCGUGCUGAAAGUUUUAGGUUAACUUUGGCAUGAAGAGAGUGCUGGCAGUGAGGUCACAAUUUAAGAAACACAAAGUCACCCACAUUAUAGGAGACAUCCUGACAAUGUUUAUUAGCUGCUAUUGUCAUUCGAUUUUGAGCCCUUUGCAAAUUAAACUUCAACUAACCUAGGAUUUCAUCUCUAUCUUGCAAUGCUUGCGCAACUUCUUCAACUUUGGUUUCUCCUGGAAAAUAAUGUUGAAUAGUUGGAGGUGUUCGUCCAUAUCCUCACCUGAAAAGGCGUAAUCGCAACAGCUGUAUGAUAGCUGGUGUUAUACCAAAAUUCAGCCCAAUGUAACCACUUAUGCCAAUCUUUUGGCUGGUCUGAAGCGAAACAACACAAAUAUGUUUUGAGACCACGUUUCAAAACUUCUAUUUGGCCAUCUGUUUCAGGAUGAUAGGCUGUACUCAUCCAUAAUUUAGUGCCAUGCAGACGAAACAAUUCAAACCAAAAAUUACUAAGGAACAAAUGGUCCCUGUCACUAACGAUGGGCCUUGGCAUGCCAUAUAAUUUCACAAUAUUAUGAAUAAAUAGGUCAGCAACACUUUUUGCAGUAAAUGGAUGCUUUAAACUCAAGAAGUGCCCAUAUUUUCAUAAUCUGUCAACUACAACAAAAAUGUGAUCCAUCCCUCUUGACUUUGGAAGGCCAGUUAUAAAAUCCAUUGAAAUAUCUUCCCACACCAUUUCAGGUAUUGGCAAUGGCCGCAACAAUCCCGCUGGAGGAAGGGUCUCAUUUAUUUUUUUGACAAAUUAAACACGAGGCAACAAAAUUAGUAACUGACUUCAUCAUACUCUGCCAAUAUAGAUUUGUUGCUAAUCGCUUAUAGGUUCUAUAAACCCUAGAAUGGCCCCUAGAUGAGGUAGAGUGAAACUCGAUAAUUAAUUUUGAUA